CAGUAGCCACGGGAAUACGAAGGGGGCUAGCGUUGCUCGGAAUGACUGGGCGUAAAGGGCGCGUAGGCGGCGGCCAAAGUCAGGCGUGAAAUUCCCGGGCUCAACCUGGGGGCUGCGUUUGAUACUUGGUUGCUUGAGUGGGGAAGAGGGUCGUGGAAUUCCCAGUGUAGAGGUGAAAUUCGUAGAUAUUGGGAAGAACACCGGUGGCGAAGGCGGCGACCUGGUCCUUGACUGACGCUGAGGCGCGAAAGCGUGGGGAGCGAACAGGAUUAGAUACCCCCGUAGUCCCUGUCUCUUAUAC
rnacentral:rRNA from 1 species